rnacentral:snRNA from 1 species
UUUAGGCCAAUGUCAGUUUGUAU